rnacentral:rRNA from 1 species
UUAAGGGCUAGUCUUAUAGGCAAAAGCGUAAAGGGUGUGAUAGGCCGUCUUAUUAAAGAGAGUAAAUGGAAUUUUUCUGUAAUGGUGGUAUGUGUAAAUAGGAAAAAGAACUUUAGACGUGAGGACUAUUUACUUCUAAGAUUAUAAUGUGUUGGCUAAAACACGAGAGUAUGGGGAGCAAACAGGAUUAGGUACCCUGGUAGUCCAUACUGUAAAUAAUGAAAAAGAUGUGAAGCAAUUCUAAAAGGUAAGAACUUUUCCGCUUGAGUAGUACGAUCGCAAGAUUAAAAUUCAAAAAACUUGGCUGUUCACUGUUUUAAUUAGAGGAGCGUGUCGUUUAAUUCGAUAGUCCGCGAGAGACCUUACCCAAACUUGAAUCCCUUAUUGACAGGUAUUGCAUG